rnacentral:sRNA from 1 species
GGGCCGCCACAGGCGCAGCUCUGCCCCCCAGCUUCCCGGGCGCACUGACCGCCUGACCGACGCACGGCCCUCGGGCCGGGAUGUCGGGGCCCGGGACGGCCGCGGUAGCGCUGCUCCCGGCGGUCCUGCUGGCCUUGCUGGCGCCCUGGGCGGGCCGAGGGGGCGCCGCCGCACCCACUGCACCCAACGGCACGCUGGAGGCCGAGCUGGAGCGCCGCUGGGAGAGCCUGGUGGCGCGCUCGUUGGCGCGCCUGCCGGUGGCAGCGCAGCCCAAGGAGGCGGCCGUCCAGAGCGGCGCCGGCGACUACCUGCUGGGCAUCAAGCGGCUGCGGCGGCUCUACUGCAACGUGGGCAUCGGCUUCCACCUCCAGGCUCUCCCCGACGGCCGCAUCGGCGGCGCGCACGCGGACACCCGCGACACCCUUCUUCACCGAUGAGUGCAAGUUCAAGGAGAUUCUCCUUCCCAACAACUACAACGCCUACGAGUCCUACAAGUACCCCGGCAUGUUCAUCGCCCUGAGCAAGAAUGGGAAGACCAAGAAGGGGAACCGAGUGUC